rnacentral:rRNA from 1 species
GAUGAACGCUGGCGGCGUGCCUAAUACAUGCAAGUCGAGCGAACGGACGAGAAGCUUGCUUCUCUGAUGUUAGCGGCGGACGGGUGAGUAACACGUGGAUAACCUACCUAUAAGACUGGGAUAACUUCGGGAAACCGGAGCUAAUACCGGAUGAUAUUUUGAACCGCAUGGUUCAAAAGUGAAAGACGGUCUUGCUGUCACUUAUAGAUGGAUCCGCGCUGCAUUAGCUAGUUGGUAAGGUAACGGCUUACCAAGGCAACGAUGCAUAGCCGACCUGAGAGGGUGAUCGGCCACACCGGAACUGAGACACGGUCCAGACUCCUACGGGAGGCAGCAGUAGGGAAUCUUCCGCAAUGGGCGAAAGCCUGACGGAGCAACGCCGCGUGAGUGAUGAAGGUCUUCGGAUCGUAAAACUCUGUUAUUAGGGAAGAACAUAUGUGUAAGUAACUGUGCACAUCUUGACGGUACCUAAUCAGAAAGCCACGGCUAACUACGU